rnacentral:rRNA from 1 species
AUUGAACGCUGGCGGCAGGCCUAACACAUGCAAGUCGAGCGAGCUGCGGACGGGUGAGUAAUGCCUGGGAAUUGCCCAGUAGGGGGGUAUACACUUUGGAAACGACUGCUAAUACCGCAUACGAGUGGGUUACCCAGGUGGGAUUAGCUAGUUGGUGAUGUAAUGGCUCACCAAGGCGACGAUCCCUAGCUGGUCUGAGAGGAUGAUCAGCCACACUGGAACUGAGACACGGUCCAGACUCCUACGGGAGGCAGCAGUGGGGAAUAUUGCACAAUGGGGGAAACCCUGAUGCAGCCAUGCCGCGUGUGUGAAGAAGGCCUUCGGGUUGUAAAGCACUUUCAGCGAGGAGGCGUUACUCGCAGAAGAAGCACCGGCUAACUCCGUGCCAGCAGCCGCGGUAAUAC